GCUUCUAGUAAGUUAAUUGGAUUUUCUACCUAAACGUGGAUAAAGUCAUUUACGCAGCAACAUUUCUCCAGAUGAGAUCGCUCGCUUAGAAUGCAGCGUGGCUCUGGUCUUCGGGCUCUCGGGCAUGAAUUGUGACGCUUGUCUGUAAACCUCGUUCCCUUGGACACGUCCUUACAGGUAAAUAAAUCAGCAAAGGAACGAUUAGUUCCUAGGCCCCGUCCUGCUAUUUAUUUUCCAAAUUCCACUUUUAUUUAUUUAUUUUUUUUUUUUUUCAACGUUUAUUUAUUUUUGGGACAGAGAGAGACAGAGCAUGAACGGGGGAGGGGCAGAGAGGGAGGGAGACACAGAAUCGGAAACAGGCUCCAGCCUCCCAGCCAUCAGCCCAGAGCCUGACGCGGGGCUCGAACUCCCAGACCGUGAGAUCGUGACCUGGCUGAAGUCGGACGCUUAACCGACUGCGCCACCCAGGCGCCCCCCAAAUUCCACUUUUAUAUAUCUGAGAUAUAUUCUCCUUUCCCCCUACUGACUCUGAAUGGGUAAUCCACUGCUGAUGUGGGAGGAAGGUAAAAUGAUCUUAGGGUCUAAGUUUUCUGGGUCAGCGCUCCCCAGAACACUGGUCCAGAGAAAAAGAUUUUCAAAGGGGAUUUCUAUGCUCAGGAUGCUGGGACAAUGCUCUCAAUGUCUUUGAGAGUCACAGGGCGCUCUGAUGUGUUCAGAGCUCUGAAGGUUCACGCAAUAAAGAAACGUGUUCAACUUUAACUCAGUAUUUCCCAAACUUUUCUGAUCAAGAAAAACUCUUUUAAGGGGCGCUUGGGUGGCUCAGUCGGGUGAGCAUCCGACUUGGGCUCAGGUGGUGAUCUCAUGGUUUGUGAGUUCGAGCCCCGCGUGGGGCUCUGUGCUGACAGCUCGGAGCCUGGAGCCCGCUUCGGAUUCUGUGUCUCCCUCUCUCUCUGCCCCUCCCCCGCUCACACUCUGUUUUUCUCUCUCUCAAAAAUAAAUAAACAUUUAAAAAAUUUAAGAAAACCUCUCUUUGUAUUAUAUCUACAGGAGCUGAUAAUGAAUGAAGGAAUCAGUGUUUCACGGGGCACAUUUUGGGAAAUGCUCCGUUCAGCCAAAAGAGUGUCCGGAUCCUUGCACAGUUUCCAUUGCUGAUGGGACCUUCUGAGCACUGUCAACAUACCCACAGAGAAGGGGUUUCCAACUCACGUAAUCACACUCUCCAGUCAGAUGUGGAACAAGAAAAUACUUCUCAGAAAUGCAAAGAAGAAAACAAACCAAGUUCAUUGCCUUGGGUAACAUGAGUUCUUGCCCAUUUGAAAGUGGGAUCUUAAUCUUCCUAGAAGAUCUCUUUCUAGAUUUCUUCUAGAAAGAGAGGACACGCCAUACCUUAGAUAGUGUAGUUACGGGCAGGUGCUCUAUCACCUGGUACUGAGUCCCACUGCCAUCUACAAGAUUUAACAAUCAGUUGUAAGAACAUCUAACGUGAAGAAAUGUUUAAGAACUCAAGGGGUCUCUUGGGAUUGGAGGUCCAUCCAUUCCUGGAAAGGUUGAGAUAAGUCACAUGAUGCCUUUUCUGUAACCCCAACAUUUCUCCAAGGAAAUCUUUGAAGUAAAAAGUUCACAAAGGAGUAGACUGAGGACUGCAGCAGAGACAGUGCGGGGGGGGGGAGGCGGGGGGAUGUUCCAUGGUUCCCUUCACUGUAGAGGCUGUUGGGAACAGGGGUUCAGUAAAGCAGACUGGAAUUUCCAGUAUCUGGUGCAUGGAUAAUGUUCUUUCACCUUUGGAUGUGUCCUUAGGUGACUGGACAGUGAGUAGAAGGUCUCAAAAAAGAGUCUGAUAUAGCAUCUGCCCUAGACCAGGAAGGAUGGGGCCAGGGCCCAGGAAACGGGUUUAGGCCCAGAGCGAACAUCUUUGUCCUCAGUUCUGUUAAAAGAUGGUGUCGGGGCGCCUGGGUGGCUCAGUCAGUUGGGCAUCUGACUUUGGUUCAGGUCAUGAUCUUGCAGUUUGUGAGUUUUGGCCCUGUGUUGGGCUCUGUGCUGACAGCUCAGAGCCUGGAGCCUGCUUCGGAUUCUCUGUCUCCUCCUCUCUCUGCCCCUCCCAUGUUCAUGCUCUGUCUCUGUCUCUCAAUAAUAAUAAAUAAAUGUUAAAAAAAAUAAUCCA
rnacentral:lncRNA from 1 species